GAUGAACGCUGGCGGCGUGCCUAACACAUGCAAGUCGAACGGACUUACAUUGAAGCCUAGCGAUAUGUAAGUUAGUGGCGGACGCGUGAGUAACGCGUGGGUAACCUGCCUUGUACUGGGGGACAACAGUUGGAAACGACUGCUAAUACCGCAUAAGCGCACAGCUUCGCAUGAAGCAGUGUGAAAAACUCCGGUGGUACAAGAUGGACCCGCGUCUGAUUAGCCAGUUGGCAGGGUAACGGCCUACCAAAGCGACGAUCAGUAGCCGGCCUGAGAGGGUGAACGGCCACAUUGGGACUGAGACACGGCCCAAACUCCUACGGGAGGCAGCAGUGGGGAAUAUUGCACAAUGGGGGGAAACCCUGAUGCAGCAACGCCGCGUGAGUGAAGAAGUAUUUCGGUAUGUAAAGCUCUAUCAGCAGGGAAGAAAUGACGGUACCUGACUAAGAAGCCCCGGNUAACUACGUG
rnacentral:rRNA from 1 species